CCUACGGGAGGCAGCAGUGAGGAAUAUUGGUCAAUGGGCGUAAGCCUGAACCAGCCAAGUCGCGUGAGGGAUGAAGGUUCUAUGGAUCGUAAACCUCUUUUAUCAGGGAAGAAAGUGUGGGACGUGUCCUCUUUUGUAUGUACCUUAUGAAUAAGGAUCGGCUAACUCCGUGCCAGAAGCGCCGUUAAUACGGAGGAUCCGAGGGUUAUCCGGAUUUGUUGGGGUUAAAGGGUGCGUAGGCGGUCUUUUAAGUCAGCGGUGAAAGUCAGGGGCUCAACCAUAGAAUGGCGGUUGACACUGGGGGGCUUGAGUAUGUUUGAGGCAUGUGGAAUGCGUGGUGUAGCGGUGAAAUGCUUAGAUAUCACGCAGAACCCCGAUUGCGAAGGCAGCCUGCCAGGCCAUGACUGACGCUGAUGCACGAAAGCGUGGGGAUCGAACAGGAUUAGAUACCCCGGUAGUC
rnacentral:rRNA from 1 species